AACCCAAAUUAAUAAUCCCCGGCGUAAAGCGUGUUUAGGACAAUACAACAAAUAAAGUUAAACUCUGACUGCGCUGUAAAAAGCCCCAGCUAGAACAAAAAUAUACCACGAAAGUGACUUUAACAGAUCCGAAUACACGAUAGCUAGGACCCAAACUGGGAUUAGAUACCCCACUAUGCCUAGCCCUAAACCAAGACAAUUCACAAACAAAAUUGUUCGCCAGAGUACUACUAGCAACGGCUUAAAACUCAAAGGACUUGGCGGUGCUUUACACCCCUCUAGAGGAGCCUGUUCUAUAAUCGAUAAACCCCGCUACACCUGACCAUCCCUUGCUAAUA
rnacentral:rRNA from 1 species